GGGGCUGACCAGGUUUCGACGGGAGCAGGUCGCCUACGGUUGCAUGCCGGGCUGAGCAUCCCGUUAUACGGCUCAGAUUGCAUAACUGCAAACAAUACAAAUUAUCGUCCUGCUUACGCUGUAGCGUAAGUUUUAACUUAAUUUAGGACUGCUUCGCCUUCCGACGCAGGAUAGGAAGGAUUUUGAAGUAUCACCCUUCUCUUGCUAUAUGCCGCAGCUGUCUCUCUGCGGCACGAACUUCGAGACUCGCCCGGUCUAGCUUUGCAGGUUGUGUGAAGCCCGGUUAAACCAAACAACCUCUCUAAGCAUGUAGACGCCGCAGGUAGUUUGUUUUCGGACUGGAGUUCGAUUCUCCACAGCUCCACCA
rnacentral:tmRNA from 1 species